GGGCCAUUGCUAUAUGCCGGAGUCCGCGCGGGGAGAAUCGACAGAGACAUGAAUAUAUUCUCAUAUAUUCUGUCUCUUUUCGUGUUGGACAUCCCCACCACUCCGUUUUCUAGAAAGAAAGAAGCGCCACACAUACGAGCAGUACGGCAGGUGAGGGCAGUCGCGAAUAUAUUGAAAGGGAAAAUGAGAAUGCACAUCACUUGAUGUACAGUGGCAUCACAAGUGAUGAUAAAGAGAAAACAAGUUUAAUAUUUUUAUGUCUGAAGUCAAGUGAUUUAUACAGUAAUCCACAUGAAAUUAAUGUAUCAAUUAUAAAAAGUAUUUAUGAAAAAAUUAUUAAAUACUCAUAUUUGUGCAAAGCCGGGUCUGGACGUCUUAUGCAAGCACCGCGUAGCAGCUCUUAUAUGUUUAAUUAGGACAGAAAAGUGUGAUAUAGAAAGAUCUAUGUGCACUGAUAAGGAACAGAAAUCGGGCAAAUUAAAAAAACGUCAGAACAAUGUAUGAAGCGGUACCUUCAUUAAAACAUUUUGUCAUGGAUUACAAAAAAAAUGUAAUUACGUGGCACAUGAAGUUAGUCAAUGUAUGUUAGAUGAACUUGUGCAAUGUAUAUUAAAAGAUAACAAAAACAGUAUGCUUAUAAAUUAAAAGAAGGCUACAAUAAAUGAGAAAAGAUCUGCACUUAAUACUGCUUCAAAGAAAAGUAUAUUUAUUACCACAGACCCAGACAGCACAGGAUAUCCUAUGAAUAUCUGUUUUAUAUCCAUUUCUUGUCCUGAUGUCCAUAGACCUUAUAAGGAUAUCCAUAGAAUAUACAUUUGUGGACAUUGAAGGGAUAUCCUAAAAUGGACCACUUUGUAUGUCCAUAUGCUUUCCUUAUU